rnacentral:rRNA from 1 species
UACGUAGGUGGCAAGCGUUGUCCGGAUUUACUGGGCGUAAAGAGCGCGCAGGCGGUCGUGCAAGUCGCGUGUGGAAGCCCCCGGCUCAACUGGGGAGGGUCACGCGAUACUGCUCGACUUGAAGGCAGGAGAGGGAAGUGGAAUUCCCGGUGUAGUGGUGAAAUGCGUAGAUAUCGGGAGGAACACCAGUGGCGAAGGCGGUUACCUGGAGCUUUGCUGACGCUGAUGCGCGAAAGCGUGGGGAGCGAUCCGG